AUACGUAGGGUGUGAGCGUUGUCCGGAAUUACUGGGUAUAAAGGGUGCGUAGGCGGGCUACUGCGUCGGGGGUUAAAUAUCUCGGCUUAACCGAGGGGAUGCCUUCGAAACGAGUAGUCUUGAAUAUGAGAGAGGAUGAUAGAAUUCCUGGUGUAGCGGUGAAAUGCGUAGAUAUCAGGAGGAAUACCGGUGGCGAAGGCGGUCAUCUGGCUCAUAAUUGACGCUGAGGCACGAAAGCGCGGGGAUCAAACAGGAUUAGAUACCCUGGUAGUCCACGCCCUAAACUAUGUAUGCUUGGUGUUGGGAUUUAAAUUUCAGUGCCGGAGGGAAUCCGAUAAGCAUACCACCUGGGGAGUACGAUCGCAAGGUUGAA
rnacentral:rRNA from 1 species